UGAACGCUGGCGGCGUGCCUAAUACAUGCAAGUUGAGCGAACGGACGAGAAGCUUGCUUCUCUGAUGUUAGCGGCGGACGGGUGAGUAACACGUGGAUAACCUACCUAUAAGACUGGGAUAACUUCGGGAAACCGCAGCUAAUACCGGAUAAUAUUUUGAACCGCAUGGUUCAAAAGUGAAAGACCGUCUUGCUGUCACUUAUAGAUGGAUCCGCGCUGCAUUAGCUAGUUGGUAAGGUAACGGCUUACCAAGGCAACGAUGCAUAGCCGACCUGAGAGGGUGAUCGGCCGCACUAGAACAGACACACGAUCCGGACUCCUACGGGAGACAGCAGUAGGAAAUCUUCCGCGAUGGGCGAAAGCCUGACGGAGCAACGCCGCGUGAGUGAUGAAGGUCUUCGAAUCGUAAAACUCUGUUAUAAGAGAAGAACAUAUGUGUAAGUAACUGUGCACAUCAUGACAGUACCUAGUCAGAAGGCCACGGCUAACUACGUG
rnacentral:rRNA from 1 species